CAGGAUAGGUACUUGUUAGUUAAGUUUUUCAUUUACACUGAAAAUGACUGUGCAAUUCGGAGUGUCUUGA
rnacentral:tRNA from 1 species